rnacentral:rRNA from 1 species
CCUACGGGGGGCAGCAGUGGGGAAUAUUGGACAAUGGGGGGAACCCUGAUCCAGCCAUGCCGCGUGUGUGAAGAAGGCCCUCGGGUUGUAAAGCACUUUCAGUGAGGAAGAACGCCUGGUGGUUAAUACCCAUCAGGAAAGACAUCACUCACAGAAGAAGCACCAGCUAACUCCGUGCCAGCAGCCGCGGUAAUACGGAGGGUGCGAGCGUUAAUCGGAAUUACUGGGCGUAAAGCGCGCGUAGGUGGCUUGAUAAGCCGGUUGUGAAAGCCCCGGGCUCAACCUGGGAACGGCAUCCGGAACUGUCAAGCUAGAGUGCAGGAGAGGAAGGUAGAAUUCCCGGUGUAGCGGUGAAAUGCGUAGAGAUCGGGAGGAAUACCAGUGGCGAAGGCGGCCUUCUGGACUGACACUGACACUGAGGUGCGAAAGCGUGGGUAGCAAACAGGAUUAGAUACCCUGGUAGUC